CCUAAGGAGCACAGUUGGGUGAGGCCUCCAGAAAGGUCUCUCAGGAAAGCAACAGUGAAUGGAGACCCUUGGCCCCCUUGCCAACUUCCUCUUCUAUUUAUUUGCCUAUUUCCUUGUCUACUCAUGUUUGUAUUUGUUGGUUUAUUUUUUUAGCAUUUUUAUAGACAACUAGGCAUCUAGACAAAAGCCACUAUGGGAAGCCCUACCCACAGCCCAAGAAAUGGUCAAUUUCUUUCAAAUGCUGUAUACUUGAAAAAUCCAAAGGAUUCAUUAGAUGAACUAAUUUCAAAGAGCCAUUGCCAAUUUUCUUUUUUCCUUAAGAAAACCAUCGAGAAUUUGAUUUGCUGCUGAUAAAGUCUCUGUCACUUUAUGGAUUGUCCAGAUUAUUGCUGCAGCCUGUAACUGGUCCUCUUGCCUCCAGCUUCCUCCUCCACUGACAUAGAAGCCCACCUCUAAGGCCCCUGCAGGAUUCAUCUGGAUCCACAUUGGAUCCACUGUGGAUGAAAUAAAGUGCUUUAUGCCAGA